UUCCAGACUCCUACGGGAGGCAGCAGUGGGGAAUAUUGGGCAAUGGGCGCAAGCCUGACCCAGCAACGCCGCGUGAAGGAAGAAGGCUUUCGGGUUGUAAACUUCUUUUCUCAGGGACGAAGAAAGUGACGGUACCUGAGGAAUAAGCCACGGCUAACUACGUGCCAGCAGCCGCGGUAAUACAUAGGGGGCAAGCGUUAUCCGGAAUUAUUGGGUGUAAAGGGUGCGUAGACGGAAGAACAAGUUGGUUGUGAAAUCCCGCGGCUCAACUGAGGAACUGCAACCAAAACUAUUCGCCUUGAGUGUCGGAGAGGAAAGUGGAAUUCCUAGUGUAGCGGUGAAAUGCGUAGAUAUUAGGAGGAACACCAGUGGCGAAGGCGACUUUCUGGACGAUAACUGACGUUG
rnacentral:rRNA from 1 species